UAUUUUAGCUUGCUAAGAUAGAUGGCGACCGGCGCACGGGUGCGUAACGCGUAUGCAACCUGCCUGUAAUUAGGGAAUAACCCGGUGAAAGUCGGACUAAUACCCUAUAUUCAUCUUUCUCCGCAUGGAGAGGGAUGGAAAGAUUUAUUGAUUACAGAUGGGCAUGCGUCCCAUUAGCUAGUUGGUAAGGUAACGGCUUACCAAGGCAACGAUGGGUAGGGGGACUGAGAGGUUGACCCCCCACACUGGUACUGAGACACGGACCAGACUCCUACGGGAGGCAGCAGUGAGGAAUAUUGGUCAAUGGGCGAGAGCCUGAACCAGCCAAGUCGCGUGAAGGACGACGGUUCUAUGGAUUGUAAACUUCUUUUGUAGAGGAAUAAUGGCAGCUACGCGUAGCUGAGGUGCAUGUACUCUACGAAUAAGAU
rnacentral:rRNA from 1 species